GACGAACGCUGGCGGCGUGCUUAACACAUGCAAGUCGAACGAAGUGGCGAACGGGUGAGUAAUACGUGGGUAACCUGCCCUCCUUUUUGGGAUAAGCCUUGGAAACGGGGUCUAAUACCGAAUACAGGGGGAUGGGCUCGCGGCCUAUCAGCUUGUUGGUGGGGUGAUGGCCUACCAAGGCGACGACGGGUAGCCGGCCUGAGAGGGCGACCGGCCACGAUGGGACUGAGAUACGGGCCAGUCUGCAACGGGAGGAAGCAGUGGGGAAUAGUGCGCGAUGGGGGAAACCCUGAUGCAGCAACGCCGCGGGCGGGAUGACGGCCUUCGGGUUGUAAACCGCUUUCAGCCAUGACGCGGUAGUGGCAGAAGAAGCACCGGCUAACUACGUGCCAGCAGCCGCGGUAAUUC
rnacentral:rRNA from 1 species